rnacentral:rRNA from 1 species
GACAGAGGUGCCAAGCGUUAGGCGGAAUCACUGGGCUUAAAGCGUGUGUAGGCGGAAUGGUAAGUACCUUGUGAAAUCCCACGGCUCAACCGUGGAACUGCUGGGUAUACUGCCCUUCUUGAGCCACUUAGGGGCUGUCGGAACAAACGGUGGAGCGGUGAAAUGCGCAGAUAUCAGGAGGAACACCGGUGGCGAAGGCGGGUCUCUGGGCCGAUACUGACGCUGAGGAGCGAAAGCGUGGGGAGCGAACAGG